GGAAAAUAGGUAACUGUCUGUUUUUAAAGAAAAGCGGUCCGGUCUCGAAAACCGGAGUAGGGGCAACUCUACCGGGGGUUCAAAUCCCCCUCUCUCCGCCA
rnacentral:tRNA from 1 species